rnacentral:rRNA from 1 species
GGGAAACUGCCUGAUGGAGGGGGAUAACUACUGGAAACGGUAGCUAAUACCGCAUAACCUCGCAAGAGCAAAGAGGGGGACCUUAGGGCCUCUCGCCAUCAGAUGUGCCCAGAUGGGAUUAGCUAGUAGGUGAGGUAAUGGCUCACCUAGGCGACGAUCCCUAGCUGGUCUGAGAGGAUGACCAGCCACACUGGAACUGAGACACGGUCCAGACUCCUACGGGAGGCAGCAGUGGGGAAUAUUGCACAAUGGGCGCAAGCCUGAUGCAGCCAUGCCGCGUGUGUGAAGAAGGCCUUCGGGUUGUAAAGCACUUUCAGCGAGGAGGAAGGCGAUAAGGUUAAUAACCUUAUCGAUUGACGUUACUCGCAGAAGAAGCACCGGCUAACUCCGUGCCAGCAGCCGCGGUAAUACGGAGGGUGCAAGCGUUAAUCGGAAUGACUGGGCGUAAAGCGCACGCAGGCGGUCUGUUAAGUUGGAUGUGAAAUCCCCGGGCUUAACCUGGGAACUGCAUUCAAAACUGACAGGCUAGAGUCUUGUAGAGGGGGGUAGAAUUCCAGGU